CGGUACAUGUCAUAUGUUAAGAUAGUUUUCCAAGACUUGUAUGAAAAGUCCCUUCAAAAUCAUCUGCCUACUAAGUACACUGUGGGGAAUGGAUUGGACAAGCAUGUGGAAUAAGUCAAAAUGAUCUCUUUGAUAAACUUUUUACACUAAUGGCCUAACUGAAAAACAAAAGAGGAAGGGAUCUCAUUAAUUAGCUAAUGCUAAAUAAUCUUCACUCUAAUUUUUUUAACAUCUUCUCUCUAUAUACAACUUCCCUAAUUAUGUCAUGUUUCUUUUUGUACAUUUCUCUGUACGUCCAUGUCGUCUUCCCUAAUAAACUGUGAAGCCUCUCUUGUGCUUGAGGAAUUGAGCCAUCAUUUGAAGGAGAAACAGUAUGAGACCUGGCAUAUAACUUACAUGCAACAAUUAGCCUCCACAUGGCAGGGGACCUCAGCGGGGGAACGAGGGGAAGAAAAAAACUUUUCCAAACAGGAAGGACAAGAGAAUACAAAAGAACCAUUGCACAGUGCCAAAGACGCACAAAACUAAGCUACAGAAUGCCAAUCGACCACAAGGUCAAUGAGACCAACCAAUCCCAAAGGGGUUGAAGAAAAUUUUGAGCCAAGACAAGAGGAUUUGAAUAUGUUUGGGGUUUGAGGUUGAGGCUAUUUAACAUGUAUUAAAGGCAGAUCUUCCUUGUUCCACAUUCUACCAAGUAUCUCAAAAUUGGCUCCUACAUGGCUCCUAUAAUCUAGUUCCUUUUCUGUCUUUCACAGUGUGGCAAACUUUUUGUAGUCCUGGCUACUGAUUGGGUAAAUGCAUUAUUGAUUAAAUCAUUUAAAUUGGGCCCUGAUUCAAGGAUCAUUAUAGAUUUAUUUUUCCUUAACUUAGAAUUUUUACACAUAAGACUUUUUAUUUGAAUUUUUUGAUGUUUUUGAUUUCUCUUGCCAAUUGAUUCAUAUACCUCAUAACCCAUCCAUACAUCUCUAAAUGAUCCCUGUGUUUUUCAAUCACUCUCUUCAGGGGGGAAUGUAUAAAUAUUAUUAUUAUUUUAAAUUUGCAAAGUUUAAAUUUCUUUUGAGAGUAAUUUUAGGUUAAGAAACAUGCUACCUCUCCAAAUCCAGAAAGUUAGCUGUUUGGAGAAGACACCUUGAAGAUACUUCCACAGACUACAAAAUACCCCAGAAGAUCGAGAUUGAACUUUGGGGUGUGGUGAUUUGAACUGUGUGGGUUUAAAUGCAUUUGUUUUGUAUGUAUAUUCUUAUGCUGAAGGGAACUGCCCCCUAUCUGGCUUUUUGUCAAUGUACCUAGUAAUCAUUGGUUUUGUUCUUUUUUCCUUUUAUCCACAAAUUAUUGCAAUCUUUAAGUUGAUUAUAUUUCCAUGAUCCUUUUUGGGGAAACCGGUUUCCCAAUAGGAUCACAGGGGGUUAUGUAAAAAUGGAGGUUUUGAACCCUAGAUUUCAAUCCACAGAAGUCCUUGGUAUUUCCCAGAAUUCCCUAUAAUCUCAUCUGAGUCUCCUUGUUGUCAAGAUCACAAUUUGUAUUUAACUGGCAGUAAUGCCUCCCAUGCUCUCUUCUCUUCCAUUGCAAUGAUGUAGCAAGUAAGCUAAGAGUGGGGAUUAUGAAUGGGCUAAUCAGCCAUGGGCACGUGAUUUUUAUUUUGUAUCCUUGAUAUCUAAUAAUCCUUAAUAAACCUCAUAAAAUAUAAUAUUUUUAUUUAGUC
ensembl:lncRNA